CCUACGGGAGGCAGCAGUGAGGAAUAUUGGUCAAUGGACGAGAGUCUGAACCAGCCAAGUAGCGUGAAGGAUGACUGCCCUAUGGGUUGUAAACUUCUUUUAUAAAGGAAUAAAACGAGGCACGUGUGCCUUUUUGCAUGUACUUUAUGAAUAAGGAUCGGCUAACUCCGUGCCAGCAGCCGCGGUAAUACGGAGGAUCCGAGCGUUAUCCGGAUUUAUUGGGUUUAAAGGGAGCGUAGAUGGGUUGUUAAGUCAGUUGUGAAAGUUUGCGGCUCAACCGUAAAAUUGCAAUUGAUACUGGCAGUCGUGAGUACAGUUGAGGUAGGCGGAAUUCGUGGUGUAGCGGUGAAAUGCUUAGAUAUCACGAAGAACCCCGAUUGCGAAGGCAGCUUACUAACCUGUGACUGACAUUGAUGCUCGAAAGUGUGGGUAUCAAACAGGAUUAGAUACCCUGGUAGUC
rnacentral:rRNA from 1 species